rnacentral:rRNA from 1 species
UAAGCAUAUCAAUAAGCGGAGGAAAAGAAACCAACAGGGAUUGCCUUAGUAACUGCGAGUGAAGCGGCAAAAGCUCAGAUUUGAAACCUGUCGUCUUUGGCGAUCGGAUUGUAAUCUGGAGAGACAUCUUCUGGCGGACAGCCGGUCCAAGUUCCUUGGAACAGGACGUCAGAGAGGGUGAGAAUCCCGUAUCUGGCCGGUUUGUUCCGCCUUGUGAAGUGUCUUCGACGAGUCGAGUUGUUUGGGAAUGCAGCUCAAAAUGGGUGGUAAAUUUCAUCUAAAGCUAAAUAUUGGCGAGAGACCGAUAGCGCACAAGUAGAGUGAUCGAAAGAUGAAAAGCACUUUGAAAAGAGAGUCAAAAAGUACGUGAAAUUGUUGAAAGGGAAGCGCUUGAGACCAGACUCGCGUUGGGGUGAUCAGCGGCGCUUCUGUGCCGUGCACUUGCCCCUCCUCGGGCCAGCAUCGGUUGCGACGGCGGGAUAAAGACCCGAGGAAUGUGGCUCCCCUCGGGGAGUGUUAUAGCCUUGGGUGCAAUGCCGCCUGCCGCGACCGAGGACCGCGCUUCGGCUAGGAUGCUGGCAUAAUGGUCUUCAGCGACCCGUCUUGAAACACGGACCAAGGAGUCUAACAUCUAUGCGA